UUGAAGAGUUUGAUCAUGGCUCAGAUUGAACGCUGGCGGCAGGCCUAACACAUGCAAGUCGAGCGGUAGCACAGAGAGCUUGCUCUCGGGUGACGAGCGGCGGACGGGUGAGUAAUGUCUGGGAAACUGCCUGAUGGAGGGGGAUAACUACUGGAAACGGUAGCUAAUACCGCAUAACGUCGCAAGACCAAAGUGGGGGACCUUCGGGCCUCAUGCCAUCAGAUGUGCCCAGAUGGGAUUAGCURGUAGGUGGGGUAACGGCUCACCUAGGCGACGAUCCCUAGCUGGUCUGAGAGGAUGACCAGCCACACUGGAACUGAGACACGGUCCAGACUCCUACGGGAGGCAGCAGUGGGGAAUAUUGCACAAUGGGCGCAAGCCUGAUGCAGCCAUGCCGCGUGUGUGAAGAAGGCCUUCGGGUUGUAAAGCACUUUCAGCGGGGAGGAAGGCGRUGAGGUUAAUAACCUCAUCGAUUGACGUUACCCGCAGAAGAAGCACCGGCUAACUCCGUGCCAGCAGCCGCGGUAAUACGGAGGGUGCAAGCGUUAAUCGGAAUUACUGGGCGUAAAGCGCACGCAGGCGGUCUGUCAAGUCGGAUGUGAAAUCCCCGGGCUCAACCUGGGAACUGCAUUCGAAACUGGCAGGCUAGAGUCUUGUAGAGGGGGGUAGAAUUCCAGGUGUAGCGGUGAAAUGCGUAGAGAUCUGGAGGAAUACCGGUGGCGAAGGCGGCCCCCUGGACAAAGACUGACGCUCAGGUGCGAAAGCGUGGGGAGCAAACAGGAUUAGAUACCCUGGUAGUCCACGCUGUAAACGAUGUCGAUUUGGAGGUUGUGCCCUUGAGGCGUGGCUUCCGGAGCUAACGCGUUAAAUCGACCGCCUGGGGAGUACGGCCGCAAGGUUAAAACUCAAAUGAAUUGACGGGGGCCCGCACAAGCGGUGGAGCAUGUGGUUUAAUUCGAUGCAACGCGAAGAACCUUACCUGGUCUUGACAUCCACAGAACUUWSCAGAGAUGSWUUGGUGCCUUCGGGAACUGUGAGACAGGUGCUGCAUGGCUGUCGUCAGCUCGUGUUGUGAAAUGUUGGGUUAAGUCCCGCAACGAGCGCAACCCUUAUCCUUUGUUGCCAGCGGUUAGGCCGGGAACUCAAAGGAGACUGCCAGUGAUAAACUGGAGGAAGGUGGGGAUGACGUCAAGUCAUCAUGGCCCUUACGACCAGGGCUACACACGUGCUACAAUGGCAUAUACAAAGAGAAGCGACCUCGCGAGAGCAAGCGGACCUCAUAAAGUAUGUCGUAGUCCGGAUUGGAGUCUGCAACUCGACUCCAUGAAGUCGGAAUCGCUAGUAAUCGUAGAUCAGAAUGCUACGGUGAAUACGUUCCCGGGCCUUGUACACACCGCCCGUCACACCAUGGGAGUGGGUUGCAAAAGAAGUAGGUAGCUUAACCUUCGGGAGGGCGCUUACCACUUUGUGAUUCAUGACUGGGGUGAAGUCGUAACAAGGUAACCGUAGGGGAACCUGCGGUUGGAUCACCUCCUU
rnacentral:rRNA from 1 species